GUCUGGUGGAGAGAGUGGUGGUGGAGAGUCCUUGCCGAAGCCGGGCUUCAAAAGCAAUUUUUUGGGGCAAUAAGUGCAUGAGUGUUGUUUUAAUUGCAAUUUCUGUAAUGUCUGCGCGACGCCUUUGAAAAUAAUAAUAAAAAAAGAGAGAGUUUAAAGAGAGAGAGAGAGAGAGAGAGGGGAGAAGUAAUUGCGGAAGUUCUGAGAAAUAAAAAGUUUGCAUCCCAGCGUUGAGUGAAGCUGCCACUUGACUGAGCUUUCAGACCCCAGUGUCGGCUAGCCAGACAGACAGACAGACGGCAAGCUAGCCAAGGAGCUAUCUAUCUACCAAGCAACCAAGUUAUUCGGCUACUCCUCAUUCCAUCUGUACGUUAGCGAGUGAGUCCUUCUAGCGGUCAGUUCACGCAGGAGUCAGCCAAUCAGUCAAUCAGUCAGUCAGUCAGUGCCCCAGAAAACAUUCCUUAGUUCCAGUUCUUUCGGCCUCGUGAAAGGGCGGAAAGCUCGCUCCCAAAAAGGUGUCUUUGCGCCGUGCUGUUCCCAGACUCCGAAUCGCUCCCGAGUGCCCGCCAGCCUCCCAUAGUCGGAUCAGCCGAGCCCUUCUGCUUGGAACCGGGAGCUCGGUGAGCCGUCGACCCCAUCGCCCAGCCAGCGUGAGCAGGAGCAGCGGCAGCGCCAGCAGGAGCGGCAGCAGCAGGUGGUGAGGUGGGUGAGCGGGGGAUGGUCGCGGCCGUGGCCAGAUAGCCGCUCGGUUGCCGCAGCCACCGUGGCCGUGGCCGGGUGCGGGGCGGCCGAUGGCUUCUCUACCUACGUGCUUGUGUACCUGGUAGGCCGCUCUCUCCUCACGCCCCUCGCCACCCUCCUCAGUGCCGCCUCUCAACAAGCCUCCACCAUGAUCAGCACGUUGGUGACCUCGCCGGGGGAGCGGAGUCGAGCCGGGUCAGAGAAGACGGCCCGAGCCCUAUGCCGGGUGGGUCAGGCCGUGAACGUAGCGGUUGACCGCUUCGUGACCGUCGGCGAGACGAUAGCGGACGAUAACCCGGAGAUCAAGGUGGAAAUGUACGAGGCAUGCAAGGAGGCCAGGGCGGCA
rnacentral:lncRNA from 1 species